rnacentral:lncRNA from 1 species
CUUACCUUCCAGCAUAAAUUCCUUUAUUUCUCCAUCGCAUCCAGCAUGAUUCCUUUUUUCUCCAUCUCAUCCAGCAUAAUGUCCUUUAUUUCCUUACCUCAUCCAGCAUAAUGUCCCUUUAUUUCUCCAUCUCAUCCAGCAUAAGGUCCUUUAUUUCCGUACCGCAUCCAGCAUAAUGUCUUUAUUUCCUCAGCUCAUCCAGCAUAAUGUCCUUUAUUCCGCAUCUCAUCCAGCAUAAUGUCCUUUAUUGCCUUACCUCAUCCAGCAUAAGGUCCGUUAGUUCUUCCAGCGCAGCCAGCAGAAUGUCUUUAUUUCUCCAUCUCAUCCAGCAUAAUGUCCUUUAUUUCUCCAUCUCAUCCAGCAUAAUGUCCUUUAUUUCCUUACCUCAUCCAGCAUGUCCUUUCUUUCUCCUCUCAUCCAGCACUGUCCUUUAUUUCCUUACCUCAUUCAAGCAUAAUUCCUUUAAUUUCCUUACCUCAGCCACAGAAUGUCCUUUAUUUUCACUCAUCCAGCAUAAGUGGCAUUAUUUUUUGUUUUUCGCAACACAGGAGUGUUAUAAAUGUCAGGUAAUCCGAUAUAGAUGGGAUGGUCAACACCUCGCUGGCCACACACACACAAACACACACAC